ACUGAAUGCUUUUGUUGUUGUCUGAGUAUAACUAUUGACUUUGCAGUUGGAUUUAGGAAGUAGUAGUGUAAGAAUUAUUCAUAAUGAUUUUUUAAAAAGUGGGUGGGGGGAAGUUUAUUUGUUAUCUAUGACACAGACUCUUUUUAUGUGCCACCAUCUCACAAAAACCUCCAUGUCUCAAUGAGCAAGGAAAGCUGUGAUGGUUUUCAUACCAUAAAUAUAUUUGAUCCUGGAGAUCCAG